AGCAAUCCCCCAGAAGUGUCACUUAACGAAGGAAAGUAGUUCGAUUUUAUAGAGUAGCACUUGAGAUACUACUUCAAAAAGGGGAUUGAAGUAUUUUCCUUAUGUGCAAAAGAAACCGAGUCCCUUCUUCUGAGGAGUACAUAAGAACAAUCUCAAAGGACGUCUUCUGUAUACUGUAGUUCGAGUUCUUUCCUUACCUGGUGCCUUUAGUCGUUUUGUCGAUUGCAAUCCCACUAACUCCGGGGGGAUCCCCUAUCGCCAAUUCUUUUCAAUCUUUAUGUAUCCGAUCUGCCCAAAGCCCUCACCCAUCAAGGCCCCACCAUCAACCAAUUUCCGGUACAAUCUCUACAAUACGCAGACGACCUGGUUCUCUUGGCUGAAUCAGCCGUGGAAUUGCAAAAUGCCAUCAAAGUGCUCCACGGCUACUGCCAAGAAAAUAGCCUUCAAGUCAAUACCAUCAAGACGAAAACCAUGGUUUUCCAUAAAGGUCGUCUGCCUCCCACCUCCUUCCAUACCAACAAUAGUGCGAUUGAAAUCCUCAAGUAUUUCAACUAUGUCGGUUUCACCUUCUCCAUCCGACUCUCCUUCACCAAUCACCUGAACUCUGCAAUAACCAAGGCCAAGGCCAGGAUCAGAUACAUGUGCAACAGGCUACCCAUGAAGAAUCUCCCCUCCCAAUAGUUCUUCAACUCUUCCUGACCUACAUCACUCCAAUUUUCCUCAAUUUUCACCCGUGGCUCCCAAACUCCGCCCAACCCGCCCUCAAAUCCGCCGAUGCUACAUUCACCAAAUUCCUCAAGCGAUACCUUUCCGUGCUCCAAUAUGCCAUCAAUGCAUGGACGCAUUUUCAAUGCGAAACCGAGCCCCUCAUCAUUGGGUUGGCCAGGUCAGUGUCCAACAGUGUUGGUAACGUGAACUUUCCGGAGGUGAUGUCCGGACACAAAUUGUCCUUCCCGGUCAAGGAUUUGUUAACACCCUAUUGUCCUUGGUCCAACAUCCCUUCAGAGUAUUGGCGGUCACGCACCUUUGUCCGGCUCCCGGCCAAAUGCCAUCAACGACAGGAGCUGAAACAGGAUCUGUUCAAUCUGACCCAACCAUUCUUCUGCAAUAACCAAGAUUUUCAUCAUUUACCUCUACCCACCUGUUUUUGUACUGUCUGCAAUUCCCCUCUUCACUUUUUUCAUGUCCAUUGAACAAUGCUAGACAUAAUCACUGUAAAUAAAAUUUUCUAGU